rnacentral:lncRNA from 12 species
CAUAUAAUUAUUUUCCUGAACUCAUCUCUUGUCUGUAGUCUCAGUGCUAAGUGAGGGUUGACCCUGGCUUCCCUUCCUCACCUCUUCCCUGUGUAAUUAUCUUGCCAGUUAAAGAGCAAAGGGUGGACCACCGAGCCAGAGGUUCUUCUGAAUUACAGCUAAUCGCACCGAAGAGGAGCGCCGCUCAGCCUUGACCUCAUGGCUCUGCACACACAAGCCUUUCUCCACCAGGCCACUGUUCAGAGCAUCGCUGUGCCUAAUCAGACGUGUCACACCUCCACUGAGACUUGAAUGUUGUCAUCUGGUAAAUAUGGGGUCAGAGCAGAUCCAUCCCUCACAGACAUCAGGUGAACAUCUCUUCAUUCUCCAGUUAGCAAGUCUUUGCAUCAGGCCCGUGCAUUCCUGCGGCAGGAGAGAGAAGAAAGGGCUGAGGUUUAUUGAAAGAACGGUAAAGCAUGUCUGAGGCGUUGCUCUGGCCCCGGCUGGUUGGGCGGAAAAGGAAGAAGCAAUCCG